GACGUAGGGCGCGAGCGUUGUCCGGAUUUAUUGGGCGUAAAGAGCUCGUAGGCGGCUCGUUGCGUCGGCUGUGAAAACCCGCAGCUCAACUGUGGGCUUGCAGCCGAUACGGGCGGGCUGGGAUUCGGUAGGGGAGACUGGAAUUCCUGGUGUAGCGGUGAAAUGCGCAGAUAUCAGGAGGAACACCGGUGGCGAAGGCGAGUCUCUGGGCCGAUAUCGACGCUGGGGAGCGAAAGCGUGGGGAGCGAACAGG
rnacentral:rRNA from 1 species